GGGGAAUAUUGCACAAUGGGGGAAACCCUGAUGCAGCGACGCCGCGUGAGUGAAGAAGUAUUUCGGUAUGUAAAGCUCUAUCAGCAGGGAAGAUAAUGACGGUACCUGAGUAAGAAGCCCCGGCUAACUACGUGCCAGCAGCCGCGGUAAUACGUAGGGGGCAAGCGUUAUCCGGAUUUACUGGGUGUAAAGGGAGCGUAGACGGCAUGGCAAGUCUGAAGUGAAAGCCCGGGGCUCAACCGCGGGACUGCUUUGGAAACUGUUAAGCUGGAGUGCAGGAGAGGUAAGUGGAAUUCCUAGUGUAGCGGUGAAAUGCGUAGAUAUUAGGAGGAACACCAGUGGCGAAGGCGGCUUACUGGACUGUAACUGACGUUGAGGCUCGAAAGCGUGGGGAGCAAAC
rnacentral:rRNA from 1 species